AAACAAAUCUUUCUUUUCUCAAUUGUAUAGUAAAAAUUUUUCUUCUAGAAAUAUGAUUCUGUUUUCCCAUAUAAGGGAAUAGCGAUAAAAAAAGUAUUUUUUACAUUCGUUCGAGAAUAUAAAAACAACUAACUAAAAUAUGGCCUUUUUUUAUGGUUGAUUUGUUGAUAACUACUACUUCGCAUGCGUAGAGUGUAAAUUUUGUUUUUAAAAACAGUCUUGGCUCUUUGUCUUUUUCAGCGUGAGAUCGUCAAGAACAUAAAGUAUUAAUUUUCCCUAUAUCAAAUGUGAUUGUCAGUGAUUAAUAAUCAAGAUUAUCAAUAUGAAAAUUUAAAAGUAUACAAAAAACCAUUUUCUUUAUGGUUAUGUUAUCCUCAUCAGUGUUCUUGGUGAAUCAGGACGAAAAAAUGGCCUCCAGAGAACAUAUGUUAAAGGAUGGCGGGCCAUCAGUGCUCACCGUCAAAUUCUCUCUUGGACAUUGUUCCCAUAAAUUCUUAUUCAUCGACUCGAUUUCCAUCGUUCUCACAACACAAACAGUAUCAAUAAAUCAAUGAAAUUCAUUUGUGAAUAAAAUAAAGUUCGUGGCUGUUCCAAAAGUGAAGAAAUUUGUGUUGGAGAUAGCGCUUAGCGACAAGCAGCAACAGAAUUGAGGACGGUGCUGUCAGCGCCAUUUGAAAAAUUGAGCGAGAAGUCCGAAUCCGGUGAUCGAGGAAGAGCCAUGUCUACGAAUGGAGAAUGGGCUCGAUUGCUUCGGUGCUUCAGUGGCAUUGCUCGGAGUGCUCUCUGAUAAAUCCGACCGAAAGCGCGCAAUGCGCCAGGUGCGGAUUAUCCCGAGUCCGAAGUGAUCAAUUUCAAACAUGGCAUCAUCAAACGGCGUGCGAUUCACACGCUAAUUCACGAAAUAAUUCGAGAAACGAGGGUCGCAACGAAAUCUCCUCAUCCCGUUCCUCGAGUCCACCAACGCCUCCGCCGCGACUUCGUAAUCCUGGGAAUAAUUCACUUCCCGAAGUUCCAUUGUCCUUGAAGAAGUCGCGGCCACCCGUUCCUGCAAUUCGUCAUUCAUCACAAACUUUCCAUCCUCUCAGUAAGGAGAAAAAAGAAUCAAAGUCCAAUGUGAUAAAAAAGAGAUUGAGGAGUCGUUCUUGGUCGGAAACAGGGCGAGAGAUUGGUGUUCUCAAGCGUUCGCCAUCAUUGCCGUCGCUCGUCACCAAGUGGACCUGCAUUCGUUGCCUAUUACGAAACAAUCCAACAGCAACGGCAAUUUGCACUGCCUGUGGAGCGAGCUCCCAAAUUGAAACCCAUGGACGGCAAAUUGGCGCAAGAAAAUGCAAGCGACUCGAACCGAGUAAAAAUGGCAAUAGUCUAAAGCAAGUGGGACGUUUGGAUCUCGUGACAAAAGUGACAACCGGUCUCGUAACGCGUGUUCACGACAGCAGUACAAAUACACUAAAAAUAUCCACACGUCGAGAUAAUAAAUUUCAAGAAAUUCCAAGAAUGGCCCAGCUAACAGGCGAACGAACACGCAAUAAUCGCGAGGAAUGGACCCUGCCAACCGAGAGAAUAGAUCCAUCAGGAUCAUCAUACGUCGUCGACAAUGUUGAUCCCUCUCAAAGAUCACCGAAACGUCACAGUCCAUCCAUGUACGAGAGAGUUAAAUCCAAAGUCAGUCGUUCACUCUCAAACGGUUCGGUUGUGCAAAAAUUGUCCGAUAACGUCCUUUUGAGACCGACAAGUCUCCUCGUAUCCGAGCAACAUCAGGACGACGCCCUAUGGAGCUGUGAUAAUUGUACAUUGAACAAUUCUUCUGGUUUGGAGCAAUGUGAAGCUUGCGAAGCGCCAAGAAGUCCAGCGCCCUGUAGCGGUGUUGUCAUCAGCGUUCCCGUUUGGGACACACGAGCACUAACAUCAGCCGGUCCACCUUGCUAUCGACGUUCAUUCUCGGAAAUUGAUGCCGUCACAAGUAUAACACAACGGAAAGUUGUAAAUCGCAGGAGCCUGAAUGACAAGGAACCACCAGAAGUGCCACCACAUUCAGCUGCCUUCAAUUCACGACCGAAAUACUCCUACAUUGGAAUAACCGAUCCCGAUAUUCCCCCACCAUUACCAAAGAAACAGAACAAUAAAUUGAAUCAUCCACUGACAACACAACGUAUUGUUGCAUCAUCACAACAAGCCGAGGCGUCAACAACGCCCAUCGACGACAGAACUGCCAAUAGUCCUCUAAAACGUAUGUGGACAUGUCGAAAGUGUUCUUACGCCUAUAAUCCCCUAUGGUCCGGUGGUUGUGACAUUUGUGGUUCAUCACGAUCACCGCCAUCAUUAACACAGCCAUCAUUAAUCACAGUCACGAAAGAUAGUGUCAAUUCACGACAAGCGCACUCGCCAAUUGUCGUCUCUAGAGAUAGUGUACGAUAUAUUCCAUCGAGACCCACUGGUUAUUUCACUGAAUCAGAUUCCGAUGAUUUAUUAGAAUUAGGUCCUGGUUGGACAUGCAAGAAAUGUACACUAUUGAAUCCAUCAACGAAAACAACGUGCGAAGCAUGCGGUGGAUCAAAAUUGAGAAGUGUCUCACAUUUAGAUGAUCCAACAUUGAGAAAAAGUGAGAGUUGGGUUUGUCAAUCUUGUACAUUGAGAAAUCCAUUGACAGCAAUAACGUGCAAUGCCUGUAAGAAUCAAUCGUUCACUGAAACCCCACGAGAGAAUAGACUUUUGGCACAGAGGAGUCCCAGUCCUAGGCUCAAUUGUCCCACGCCUACUAGUCAAAAAGCUGUCACUCCAAGGCAUAGGAAUUCUGUCAAGAGAAAUGGAUCUGGUAUCGUUGAUAAAAAGUACAUUAGGUCCAAGGAACCCGGCAUUGCACAGUGGCAAUGCAAGUUGUGCACUUUCGAAAAUAAAAGUUCACAGGGAAAUUGUGAAAUGUGUCAGAGUUCGAAAAUUUUGUCGCAAGUGCCGAAUGACAGACCUCGACCCAGCGAGCCUGGAAAUAAUACUCUUCGAAUACAGAGACAAGAAAGUGUUGUAAUGGAAAAUUUGCGAAAAAUCGAAGAAAGAGAGGCGCUUGAAAAAUGGGAGAGAAUAGUUUUAUAUUGUAAAGAGACGAAUGAGCCAUUUGUUGACGAUUCAUUUCCCCCGGCACCAAAGUCACUCUAUUAUAAUCCAACUGACACCAAGGAUAAUCACGUGGUUCAAUGGAGAAGGCCACAUCAGAUUAAUGUCGAUUCGAGUGUUGAUUCAAGAUUGCCAUGGGCAGUUUUUCGAACACCCUUGCCAUCCGAUAUAUCGCAAGGUGUUUUAGGUAAUUGUUGGCUACUAUCGGCAUUGGCCGUACUUGCCGAGAGUGAUGAACUGGUGAAACGUGUUCUUGUAAUGCGAGAAACAUGUCCCGAGGGUGCAUAUCAAGUUCGUCUUUGUAAGGAUGGAAAAUGGACAACAGUAUUGGUUGACGAUUUAUUGCCGUGCGAUAAAAGGGGACAUCUCGUCUAUUCACAGGCAAAGAGAAAACAACUUUGGGUGCCUUUGAUUGAGAAGGCGGUGGCAAAAAUUCACGGCUGUUAUGAGGCAUUGGUGUCGGGACGUGCUAUCGAAGGAUUGGCAACAUUAACCGGAGCACCAUGCGAGAGUGUUCCCCUGCAGCCGUCGGCAUUGCCAAGUGAGGAUGAAUUGGAUAAGGAUUUAAUUUGGGCGCAAUUAUUGUCAUCGAGGCAGGCAAUGUUUUUAAUGGGAGCAAGUUGCGGUGGUGGUAAUAUGAAAGUUGAUGAGGAGGAAUAUCAACGAAAGGGACUGAGACCAAGACACGCGUAUUCGGUUCUUGAUGUUCGCGAUGUACAGGGAAUACGAUUGUUGCGCUUGAGAAAUCCUUGGGGUCAUUAUAGUUGGAAGGGCGAUUGGUCUGAUGAUAGUCCAAUUUGGACGCCGCAAUUGAGGGAAAUGCUGAUGCCACAUGGUGCUUCGGAUGGUGUUUUUUGGAUCUCGUUCGAUGAUGUUCUUCGCUAUUUUGAUUGUAUUGAUAUUUGUAAAACUAGAGUUGGAUGGAGUGAGGUGAGAUUGAGAGGGACUUUACCGCCACUUUCGUCAUUGAGGCAUUUGUCCUGUGUUCUUUUGACUGUUCUCGAGCCGACUGAAACGGAAUUCACACUCUUUCAAGAGGGUCAGAGAAAUUCGGAAAAGUCGCAACGCUCGCAAUUGGAUUUGUGUGUCGUUGUUUUUCGGACACGAUCGCCAGCAGCUCCGGAAGUGGGUCGUUUGGUGGAGCACAGUAAACGACAAGUUCGUGGUUUCGUCGGUUGUCACAAAAUGUUGGAGAGGGAUUUGUAUAUUGUCGUUUGUCUAGCUUUUAAUCAUUGGCACACGGGAAUGGAGGAUACGUCAAGUUAUCCAGAAUACGUUUUGGCUAUUCACAGUUCAAAGAGAUUGUUGGUUGAACAAAUUUCACCGCCUGCUUUUGUAUUGGCUGAUGCGAUUAUAAGUCUCACACUUGCUAAAGGACAACGACACGAGGGUAGAGAAGGAAUGACUGCCUAUUAUUUGACAAAAGGCUGGGCGGGUUUAGUCGUAAUGGUUGAGAAUCGUCACGUGAAUAAAUGGAUUCAUGUAAAAUGUGAUUGUCACGAGAGUUAUAAUGUUGUUUCAACAAGAGGACAACUGAGAACUGCCGACAGUGUUCCCCCUCUUCACAGGCAAGUAAUAAUAGUACUAACGCAACUGGAAGGAAGCGGUGGUUUCUCAAUAGCACAUCGAUUAACACAUAGAUUAGCGAAUAGUGGAAAUUUACACGAUUGGGGUCCCCCGGAUACUCAUCAUUGUCCACCGAUAGAUAUUCAAGUUGAAGGAUUGCACAGUCCACGUUUAAUAACUUGAAGAAAUUUUCUUUUGGAUUAGAAAUGAAGUGAAACCAAAGUUGACGCAAAAAAAGAUUUGAAAUUAAGCGCUCUUUUACAUGGCAACACAAUAUAGUCAAUAUCACUUCCAUUUAGAAAAUGGACGCAAGAGUAAAAUAUGAAUCAAUCUUCACAAGGUUCACAACAAGAAAACAAGUUUGAUUCAAGUAGUGAUUUGACGGAGGAAUGACGAAUCGGAAAUGACAGAGUGGACAUUGUUGAAAUUGUCCACGAAUCACGUGUCAAGGAGAGAAUAAUUCCAAAACAAGGGGAAAGAAAAGGGGGAUUUUGUGGGGUUAUUUCACCGGUGCCUGCGCGUUCUUCCUUCUUUCCGCUGUGAGUUUCCUUGGGGUAGAGAUCGUUGGACAUCAAAGGAGAGAGGCGUUAACGGCGUCGGUGUCACGUUUUCCUUCGCCGAAAACGAAUUCUCGUUUUUUUGGAAAGAAAUAUAAGAAACAAAACAUGUCGGAAGAUACAAAGAA